rnacentral:lncRNA from 1 species
CUCAGAGGAGCAGCUGAGGUUAGCAUUGGCUCAAGACAGGAAGGAUGGCAGAAGUAUCUGACAGUCAAUGGCAAAUGCUGGACUCUAGGCUUCUGGAAUUUCGCUUGGCCCUAGACUCAUUCCUUGUAUCAGUUCUGGAGGCUGGUGCCGGCAGAUUCAACAUUUGGUGAGAACCUGGUUUCUGGUUCAUAGACAGCUGCCUCCUCACUGUAACCUCACAUGGUGGAAGAGCAGUGUGCACUGCAGUUUUCUCUGUGGAAGACAGUUCUACUUCAGGAUGAAAUAUCCUUCAACGACACCUGGGUGCCCUCGUCUAGCUGUUUUCCUGCUACGUCCGAGACAUUUUGGCUCCAUUCAGAGUCUCCUCCUUGACCACCAACCAGAUCUCCAAAGAAAUUUCAGUUCAGAAAAAAAGUUAAGACACCCUGCUGUAGAUGUGGGCUCUUCUUACCAGUUCCAAUACUUUCUUGAACCUCUGUGUAAGCAAUACGGAAAAGAAUGUAUCAGCCAGCAGCUGCAGAAGCUGCUCCCUCAGGGGAAAUAUGGACACAGACAUACACAGAGAGAGGACAAAGUAAACAGACACAGGAAGGAUGCCAUGUGAAGAUUAGAGUUAUUCUACCACAAGCCAAGGAACACCUGGGGCUCCCAGAAGCUGGAGGAGGCGAGGAACGCUUCCCACCACUUUCAGAUGGAGCGUGGCCCUGCCAACACCUUGACUUUGGACUUCUAGCCUCCAGAACUGUGAGACAAUACAUUUCUUUUGUUCUAAGCCACGCGGUUUGUGCUACUUUGUUCUGGAAACCCUAGGAAACUAACACACAGCUCAAAGCCGUGCUGAAGGGUGAGGAAGGAGACAUGAUUGAAGUCCACUGACGCUUUAACCUGGGCUAUACUUUAAGAGCCAAAAAUGACCAGAAAAUUCUGUAAUCUGCCCAAGAUCUUAUGGAAGGAUGUGCUCUGUAUUAGAAAAAGGAGGUUCUACAGAGCAUCGAUGGAAGCAGUGACUGGAAAAAAUACAAUUAUUUUAUGCACACACCCCACUGGGUUCUGACUGCUCAAUAAACCAGUUACACACAGAUUCAAAUGUUCUCUGCCCACCAGACGCUUGGGCACUUCGCCAGGAUUACUCUCAGGCUGCAUGCUGGUUGUCAUGACGACGUAG